rnacentral:rRNA from 1 species
GCCAAGCAGCCGCGGUAAUUCCAGCUCCAAUAGCGUAUAUUAAAGUUGUUGCAGUUAAAAAGCUCGUAGUUGGAUCUCGGGUCCGGGCUCGCGGUCCACCUCGCGGUGGUUACUGCCCGUCCCGACCUACCUACCGGUUUUCCCUUGGUGCUCUUAACUGAGUGUCUCGGGUGGCCGGAACGUUUACUUUGAAAAAAUUAGAGUGUUCAAAGCAGGCGCUUCGCCUGAAUAAUGUUGCAUGGAAUAAUGGAAUAGGACCUCGGUUCUAUUUUGUUGGUUUUCGGAACUCGAGGUAAUGAUUAAGAGGGACAGACGGGGGCAUUCGUAUGAUGGUGUUAGAGGUGAAAUUCUUGGAUCGCCGUCAGACGAACUACUGCGAAAGCAUUUGCCAAGAAUGUUUUCAUUAAUCAAGAACGAAAGUCAGAGGUUCGAAGACGAUCAGAUACCGUCCUAGUUCUGACCAUAAACGAUGCCGACUAGCGAUCCGCCGGAGUUGUUUCAAUGACCCGGCGGGCAGCUUCCGGGAAACCAAAGUCUUUGGGUUCCGGGGGAAGUAUGGUUGCAAAGCUGAAACUUAAAGGAAUUGACGGAAGGGCACCACCAGGAGUGGAGCCUGCGGCUUAAUUUGACUCAACACGGGAAAGCUUACCCGGCCCGGACACCGUAAGGAUUGACAGAUUGAGAGCUCUUUCUUGAUUCGGUGGGUGGUGGUGCAUGGGCCGUUCUUAGUUGGUGGAGCGAUUUGUCUGGUUAAUUCCGAUAACGAACGAGACUCUAGCCUAUUAAAUAGUUCGCCGAUUUCGAUCUGUCGGCGUUAACUUCUUAGAGGGACAAGUGGCUUUUAGCCACGCGAGAUUGAGCAAUAACAGGUCUGUG